rnacentral:tRNA from 1 species
GCUGGUGUAGCUCAAUGGAUAGAGUAGUGGUCUUCGAAACCAAAGGCUGCAGGUUCGAGUCCUGUCACCAGCA